UACGUAGGGGGCAAGCGUUGUCCGGAAUCAUUGGGCGUAAAGCGCGUGUAGGCGGUUCGGUAAGUCUGCUGUGAAAGUCCAGGGCUCAACCCUGGGAUGCCGGUGGAUACUGUCGGACUAGAGUACGGGAGAGGUGAGUGGAAUUCCCAGUGUAGAGGUGAAAUUCGUAGAUAUUGGGAAGAACACUGGUGGCGAAGGCGGCUCACUGGCCCGUUUCUGACGCUCAGGCGCGACAGCGUGGGGAUCAAACAGG
rnacentral:rRNA from 1 species